CCAGGGCUGGGCGGCCUCUGGGUCCUUAGGGGUCCAAGGCCCUCAUGUGGGGAACACCCAGUUAGAUGCCCUCAAAGACCCCGGGCCCUCCUCCUACAGCCGUGACCUUCCACCCAGCUGACCAAAGGGAAGACCACCAGGGAAGCGGAGGCACCUGCGGGGGCGCUGGAAGGAUGCAGAGAGAUGGACACUCAUUCUCAAAGAGGCGGAGGGGCCAGCUGAUGGACAGGGACAGGAGGCAUGCGCUCGGGAAUUCAACUCAGCUGGAUUUUCGAACCAGGGGAGUAUUUGCCUGCUCAAAUGUGUUAAUUUAAUACAAAAAUAAACCAAUGUCCAUUUGAGGGGUCUGCCUGCCCCCAGACUCCGGGCAGAGAAGCACUCCACUUCGCUCCUCCAGGCUGAUGGAAGAGUGGACCCCGGGUCACCUGAGCCCAGGUCCAAGCCCUUCCAGGGCUCAUGGCUGAGUGACCAGGAGGUGAUGAAAUUAUGGGAACCGAGUGGCAUCCUCCUGACCUUCGUCCCAGGGAGCUAACCAUCACUGCCCUGGCGGCUGCUCUCCAUGCACCGAGAGCCUCUACGCGGUGGGACCGUCACAGCCGCCAUGGCCAGAGCACCUUGCGGGGAGGGCUUGAUUCGUCUCAACUCAUUACAGCCCCAUGGGGGAGCAUCACCAUCAUCAUUUUCAUCCCCAUUUGAAAGAAGGGGAAACUGAGGCCCAGGAUUUCUCCGAGCUCCUGAAAGGUGGAGCAGAGAACCAGGCUGGCAACUUGUCUCCCUGUUCACAUUUUCAGCUGCUUCUGAAGGAAGCCCAGGGGUCAUGGGCCUUCUUGCAGAGGCCACAGGCACAGAUAACUAGACUCAGAUCCCCCUACCCACGCUCUGCUCCCCACCACGGAAACAGCCAGCGGGCCCCUUUACGUAGUCCUCCUGCAGGAACCAGCAAGAGACUGGGACAUCCCCAGGCUGUCCUCCUGCCCUGCACCUGGUGGGGACACUGUGGCCGGAUCCCCGUGGUCAGAGGCAGCCUGCGCCUGUGUCUUCCUCCGCCACAGUAAAAGCUGGUCCCCUUUCCUUCUGCCGGCAUUGCCUUCCCAGGGCCCUCGGACUCACAGUGUAAGGUUUUAACCUCCUUGCCAAGUCUUGAGAAAACACCUCGGACGUGUUUCACCAGCAAAAACAAAAGCCUCACAGUUCACACGGUGCCCAGCAAAGAUUGGGGGAAGCGGGGGUGGGGGCGAGGUCAGGCUAAAAUAAGAAAAACUGGAUUCUGGUUUUUAAGGGAAAAUUCACAUACCGUAAAAUUCUUUAAAAUAUGCAAUUCAGUGGUUUGUUAGUGUAUUCACAAAACUGUGCGACCAUCACCACUACCUAAGGCCAGAAUAUUUUCAACCCCCAAAAAGAAAUCCUGCACCCAUUAAGCAGGCAGUUGCCAGUCCCCUCCCCCACAGCCCUUGGCAACCAGCAAGCUACUUUCUGUCUCCGUGGAUUUGCCUAUUCUGGACAUUUCUGUGACCUUUUGUGUCUGGCUUCCUUCACUCUGUAUAAUGUUUGGAAGCACAUCCAUGCUGUGACGUGAAUUGGGACUUCCUUCUUUGUCAUAGUCAAAUAAUAUUCCAUCGUAUGGACAGACAACACUUUGUUUCUCCAUUCUUCACUAAUGGGUGUCUGAGUUGCUUCCACUCUGGCCAUUACGAACACCGCUGCUCGGAACAUCCCUGGACGUGUCCUUGUGUGGACACGUGUUUUCAUUUCUCUUGGAUGUAUACCUAGGCAUGGAAUGGCGGGGGAAAUGAAGUCUCGUCUGAAGGCUGGUGUUCCCUUCUAGGAAAGACACUUUUCCACCCACAUCUCAACCACAGGAAGGGGGCGGGGACUGCCCCCACCGAGAUGGGCAAGGGGCACUCAGGCAGGGAGGGCUCCAGGAGUCAAGAAUCCAGGUGGCAUUCUGAGUGGUGGGCAUCCUCUGGGCCUUGUGAGGUGGGGGCACUGGGAGAGCAGAGUCUGAGAGGUCCAGGAGCUUUCUAGAAAGGAGGCACAGUGUGAGCCAAAACCCCACGGUGGGCACCCACACAGCCCCAGACCACUGGCGACUCUGUGUGGAGGGAGGGGCUCUCAGGGCACCAGCUACAAGCGCCACUGUGCUCUACGCCCUUCCCAGCUCUCCUGCUUGAUGUCCAUCAACCACGACAUAGCCCUGGCUAUGGGGUCUGCCCGAGGAAUCCUGCAACAGACCCAGGUGAACUCGCUACAGGUGAGAGGUCGGAGCCAAGACGUGUGGUUGACGGGACACCCAGAGCUUUUCCUCUUGAGUAUCCACAAGAACAUUCUGGGCAGCUAGAAUCCAAUCCAAAGAUCAGCCCCAUACGGAAGGGUGAGCCCCACAAACGUCCAUUCAUUCAUUGGUUCAUUCAUCCAACAAAUAUCAUGAGUCACGUGCCAGGCGGUGAAGAGGCACCAGCGGCGAAAGACAGAAAUCCCUGCUUUUGCAGGGUUCACAGUCUGGCGGGGAAGCCGGAUAUUACACAAAUAAAAACUUCUGAUGCAAAGCGCUAUGGAUGCCACCAAGAAACUGAGUGGAGGUGAGACAGGGAAGCUCCAAGAAAGGGGAGGAUUGGCCCACACAGGGCGACGAGGAAAGGCAUCCUUGAAGCUGAAGCGUGAAGGAUAAAUUGAACCCACUGUGGGAAGAGCUGGGGCGGCAUC
rnacentral:lncRNA from 1 species